AGAGAAAGUGGUAUCUAAAAGAAGCUGCUAACUAUCUUUUAAAGCGGUUAAACUCCGUUUUUCUCUU
rnacentral:tRNA from 1 species